AGAGUUGGUCGAGCUAUCGCUUAGCAUGCUAAGAGGAAAGUCCGGACUUCAAAGAGUAAGGUGCCAGUUAAUUGCUGGGGAACGUGAGUUCACGGAAAGUGCAACAGAAAGUAAACCGCCAUUUAUGGUAAGGGUGAAAGGGUAAGGUAAGAGCUUACCGCUCAAAUUAAAAUUUGAGGCAUUGAAAACCCCACCUGAAGCAAUGCCAAAUAGAGAUUAAAUUGUGUUUCUCGCACAUAAUCUGGGUAGGCAGCUUGAGUGUUUUGGUGACAAGACAUCUAGAUAAAUGAUAGCUAAAACAGAAUCCGGCUUAUAGACCAACUCUAUUC
rnacentral:RNase_P_RNA from 3 species